GUUGUAUAGUCAAGUAAUUAAGUGCAUGUGGUGGAUGCCUUGGCAGUCAGAGGCGAUGAAAGACGUGAUAGCCUGCGAAAAGCUCCGGGGAGGCGGCAAAUAUCCUUUGAUCCGGAGAUGUCUGAAUGGGGGAACCCACCUACUUUAAGGUAGGUAUUGCAACAUGAAUACAUAGUGUUGCAAGGCGAACGAGGGGAAGUGAAACAUCUCAGUACCCUUAGGAAAAGAAAUCAAUUGAGAUUCCCUCAGUAGCGGCGAGCGAACGGGGAUCAGCCCAUUAAGUUAUGUGUGUUUUAGUGGAACGCUCUGGGAAGUGCGAACGUAGAGGGUGAUAUUCCCGUACACGAAAGGGCACACAUAAUGAUGACGAGUAGGGCGAGGCACGUGAAACCUUGUCUGAAUAUGGGGGGACCAUCCUCCAAGGCUAAAUACUCCUGACUGACCGAUAGUGAACCAGUACCGUGAGGGAAAGGCGAAAAGAACCCCUGUGAGGGGAGUGAAAUAGAUCCUGAAACCGCAUGCAUACAAGCAGUGGGAGCACCUUCGUGGUGUGACUGCGUACCUUUUGUAUAAUGGGUCAGCGACUUAUAUUCAGUAGCAAGGUUAACCGUAUAGGGGAGCCGUAGAGAAAUCGAGUCUUAAUAGGGCGUUUAGUUGCUGGGUAUAGACCCGAAACCAGGCGAUCUAUCCAUGAGCAGGUUGAAGGUUGGGUAACACUAACUGGAGGACCGAACCCACUGUCGUUGAAAAGCCAGGGGAUGACUUGUGGAUAGGGGUGAAAGGCUAAUCAAGCCUGGUGAUAGCUGGUUCUCCCCGAAAGCUAUUUAGGUAGCGCCUCGGACGAAUACCAUAGGGGGUAGAGCACUGUUUCGGCUAGGGGGUCAUCCCGACUUACCAAACCGAUGCAAACUCCGAAUACCUAUGAGUACUAUCCGGGAGACAGACUGCGGGUGCUAACGUCCGUAGUCAAGAGGAAAACAAUCCAGACCGCCAGCUAAGGCCCCAAAAUCAUAGUUAAGUGGGAAACGAUGUGGGAAGGCAUAGACAGCUAGGAGGUUGGCUUAGAAGCAGCCACCCUUUAAAGAAAGCGUAAUAGCUCACUAGUCGAGUCGGCCUGCGCGGAAGAUGUAACGGGGCUAAAACUAUGUGCCGAAGCUGCGGAUNNNNNNNNNNNNNNNNNNNNNNNNNNNNNNNNNNNAUGCUGGAGGUAUCAGAAGUGCGAAUGCUGACGUGAGUAACGACAAAACGGGUGAAAAACCCGUUCGCCGAAAGACCAAGGGUUCCAGUCCAACGUUAAUCGGGGCUGGGUGAGUCGACCCCUAAGGCGAGGCCGAAAGGCGUAGUCGAUGGGAAAAUGGUUAAUAUUCCAUUACUUCUGUGUAAUGCGAUGAGAGGACGGAGAAGGCUAAAUCAGCCUGGCGUUGGUUGUCCAGGUGAAAGGAUGUAGGCAUGUAUCUUAGGCAAAUCCGGGGUACUCUAUGCUGAGAUCUGAUAGCAAGCUGUACUUGUACAGCGAAGUGGUUGAUGCCAUGCUUCCAGGAAAAGUCUCUAAGCUUCAGUUACACAGGAAUCGUACCCGAAACCGACACAGGUGGUCAGGUCGAGUAGACCAAGGCGCUUGAGAGAACUCUGCUGAAGGAACUAGGCAAAAUGGUACCGUAACUUCGGGAGAAGGUACGCUGUUGUUGGUGAUGGAACUCGCUUCCUGAGCUGACGACAGCCGCAGAAACCAGGCCGCUGCAACUGUUUAUUAAAAACAUAGCACUCUGCAAACACGAAAGUGGACGUAUAGGGUGUGAUGCCUGCCCGGUGCUGGAAGGUUAAUUGAUGGGGUUAGCGUAAGCGAAGCUCUUGAUCGAAGCCCCAGUAAACGGCGGCCGUAACUAUAACGGUCCUAAGGUAGCGAAAUUCCUUGUCGGGUAAGUUCCGACCUGCACGAAUGGCAUAAUGAUGGCGGCGCUGUCUCCAGCAGAGGCUCAGUGAAAUCGAAAUCGCUGUGAAGAUGCAGUGUACCCGCGGCUAGACGGAAAGACCCCGUGAACCUUUACUGCAGCUUGACACUGAACUUUGACCUUACUUGUGUAGGAUAGGUGGGAGGCUUUGAAGCUGGAACGCUAGUUCCAGUGGAGCCGUCCUUGAAAUACCACCCUGGUAAUGUUGAGGUUCUAACUCUGUCCCGUGAUCCGGGACGAGGACCGUGUCUGGUGGGUAGUUUGACUGGGGCGGUCUCCUCCUAAAGAGUAACGGAGGAGUACGAAGGUGCGCUCAGCGUGGUCGGAAAUCACGCGUAGAGUAUAAAGGCAAAAGCGCGCUUAACUGCGAGACCCACAAGUCGAGCAGGUACGAAAGUAGGUCUUAGUGAUCCGGUGGUUCUGUAUGGAAGGGCCAUCGCUCAACGGAUAAAAGGUACUCUGGGGAUAACAGGCUGAUACCGCCCAAGAGUUCAUAUCGACGGCGGUGUUUGGCACCUCGAUGUCGGCUCAUCUCAUCCUGGGGCUGAAGCAGGUCCCAAGGGUAUGGCUGUUCGCCAUUUAAAGAGGUACGCGAGCUGGGUUUAGAACGUCGUGAGACAGUUCGGUCCCUAUCUACCGUGGGCGCUGGAAAUUUGAGAGGAUCUGCUCCUAGUACGAGAGGACCAGAGUGGACGAACCUCUGGUGUACCGGUUGUGACGCCAGUCGCAUCGCCGGGUAGCUAUGUUCGGAAGGGAUAACCGCUGAAAGCAUCUAAGCGGGAAGCCUACCUCAAGAUAAGAUUUCCCUAGGACUUUAUGUCCUCUAAAGAGCCGUUCGAGACUAGGACGUUGAUAGGUUGGAUGUGGAAGCAUAGUGAUAUGUGAAGCUGACCAAUACUAAUUGCUCGUGAGGCUUGACUAUACAACACCCAAGCAGUUG
rnacentral:rRNA from 1 species